AUUGCCUGAAAUCAUUACCCAAAAAAAUAAGCAGCUUGUUCAAACAUUGGAAGUGGUAAUGUGGACAAUUCUUUUUAAUUUAUCUAGUAAAGUAAGAUUUAAGUGGUAAUGUAGACAGUCAAGAAUGCAAAUAAGAGAAGUUUAUUUCCUUUUUCUUUUUUGGUUUGGAGGGAGGAGAGGCUUACCAAAGUUGACUGUAACUCAUCCGUGAAAGACUUAAGGAAUGGCCAAACUAAGGAAGGAUAAAACAAAGAAGAAAAGUAAAGU
rnacentral:misc_RNA from 1 species